rnacentral:tRNA from 2 species
GUCCCAGUAGCUCAGAUGGAUAGAGCACAGGUUUCCUAAACCUGGGGUCGGGCGUUCGAAUCGCCCCUGGGACGCCA